CGCGCGGUUCUAUUUUGUUGGUUUCUAGGACCGCCGUAAUGAUUAAUAGGGACAGUCGGGGGCGUCAGUAUUCAAUUGUCAGAGGUGAAAUUCUUGGAUUUAUUGAAGACUAACUACUGCGAAGGCAUUCGUCAAGGAUGUUUUCAUUAAUCAGGAACGAAAGUUAGGGGAUCGAAGACGAUCAGAUACCGUCGUAGUCUUAACCGUAAACUAUUAAGUCUAGGGAUCGGACGGUGUUAUUUUUUGACCCGUCCGGCACCUUACACGAAAGUAUAAGAGCUUAUUCUGGGGAAAUACGGUAGCAAUACUGAAACUUAAAGAAAUUGACGGAAGGGCACACCAGGGGUGGAGCCUGCGGCUUAAUUUGACUCAACACGGGGAAACUCACCAGGUCCAGACACAACGAGGAUUGACAGAUUGAGAGCUCUUUCUUGAUUUUGUGGGUGGUGGUGCAUGGCCGUUCUUAGUUGGUGGAGUGAUUUGUCUGCUUAAUUGCGAUAACGAACGAGACCUUAACCUGCUAAAUAGCCCGCAUCGCUUUGGCGGUGCGCCGGCUUCUUAGAGGGACUAUCGGCUCAAGCCGAUGGAAGUUUGAGGCAAUAACAGGUCUGUGAUGCCCUUAGAUGUUCUGGGCCGCACGCGCGCUACACUGACACAGCCAGCGAGUCCUUCCUUGGCCGAAAGGCCCGGGUAAUCUUGUUAAACUGUGUCGUGC
rnacentral:rRNA from 1 species